rnacentral:lncRNA from 1 species
CUUGAAGGACUGGAAGCUACUCUGGCAGACAACGGUUCGCCACAGAGAGCCCACCGAGACGAAAGGGCAUCAGGAGCCGUGUCUCCUGGACGUUGCCUUCCACUCCCUGUGCUUCCUCUCAUCCAGCUUUUCCUCCCUGCUUCAUGUCUCCUCAGUCGUUUCUAUUCCUCUAUCUGCCGCCAAAGGGCGGAGAUGCCUUCAGGUCGUGUGUAGAAACCCCAGACGGGUUUAGUGAACCUGAGAGCACAGGGUGUGCCUGAAUCCUGAGGAGAUUCCAGGAAAGCCGCAGCGCCCCGUGACCCCGCGCGGCCCAGGAAUCAGCGAGCGGAGCGUCUUUUUCGUUUGUCUCAGCUGUCAGGUGCCAGAUUGACAGAGACCCGUACCUGACGGCCUGAGAACCCUAGAGGGCCAGGGAAGUCGUCACGUACUUCAGCUUGCCAGAGAGGGAUGGAGAAGCCGCUGACGGAGGCCUGUGACCAUCAAGCGGGCGUGUGGCCAGAAGAGAGGGUUCCUCUGGGAACUGGCAGCUGAGACCAAACAAAAUGGCGGACACCCCCACAGACGCCCCUGUGCGGAGGAGAGGAUCGCCAAGGGUGAGAAACCUCCCCCCACCUCACACACGUGGCGCCAGGAGGGCCGCCAAGAAUCUGACUUGACUCUGGACAAAGAGGGUGCUUAAAUGGCCAGAGGAGACUCUGAAUAUUAUUAAUAUGUGAGUUUUCACUACUUGAUGGAAAAAUCCACAAAAAAAAUGACAUUCAGCUAUAAAAGAAGUAAAUUGGCCACUUCACCCAUGAAAUUUGUCUGGGAAUCUUUAUCUGCUCUACCCGCAAAGGCUCUGCUUCCGCCUUGUCUCUCUCUCCCUCUCCCUCCCUCCCUCCCUCCCUCUCUCUCUCUCUCUCUCUCUCUCUCUCUCACCCCACUCCACCAAAGCAGAAGGGAAAUACAGACAGUCGGAUGAGAUGCAUAGAAGAUCAUCCUGUCAAAUAAAGGCAAUUUUCAGCGAUGGAAAAAGGAAUAUUUUUAUGAUCAUUAUUGUAGACAAUUAAAUACAACAAGCUUUGUGGAAAGAAAACAUUGGCAAAAUUCAGUUAACUAUAAAUAUAGCCAACCUCCUGAAAGGAAUAUUAUGAAGACUAACAAAGUCAGAAACAAGCAAAUGCACAGUGGUUAUUAUUCCAGUCCAAAUUAUGAUUACAAUUGUGUACAAUUUCCUAGUCAAAACCAAUUUCUUAUUUGUUCCCAAUUCCGGAUAGAAACCUUAAAGUAAAUUACAAGUAUGAGCUAAGUUUUCUUUGCCAGUAGUGUUUGGCAAACAAUCGCCUUGUGAUCACUGUAGAUGAUCAAUUUAAUUAGAUGUCAGAAUCAAUGAACCACAGGCGAGUGAGGUGAAUUGCAACCAUGAAGUCUAACCCUUUUUCCAAGGCAAAGAUACACUGAAUUUGAGGUGUUUAUUGUUUUAGCUUUCCAUGAUUUAAGACUAUCAUCAGAAGGCAUAGCCUUCUCUCUUUAGAAUCUACAGUUCUGCAGUGCCUACAAAUUGUAAAUGACAUGUGAAGCUUUCACAAAUUUGCUCUGAGUUAUUAGGUAUAUAAUCCAAGCCCAUGUGGAACUUUCCCUUAUGGAACUCCUCAGGGCUGAGCGCUCCCCACAUAUUUGCCAGCAUGACUGAACUGGGGUUGUACAGAGAAGUGAGGGCCUAGAAAUGUAAUGGAUGGACUUUAGCCACAACCUGUCUGAUAUGAGCACACAAUUCCAGAGUCGGUAAGUCAGGCUGAUUAAUGGAAGUGAGCAGCUCAGAAUAAGUGGCAGUUCAAAGACAAUAAAUCUCGCAGUGUAGCCAAGCUCUAGCCCAUUCUUUUUUUUUCAUGGAGUCUCUCGCUCUGUUACCCAGGCUGGAGUGCAGUGGCGCGAUCUUGGCUCACUGCAACUUUUCGCCUCCCGGGUUCAAGUGAUUCUCCUGCCUCAGCCUCCCGGGUAGCUGGGACUACAGAUGCACACCACCAUGCCCGGCUAAUUUUUUGUAUUUUUAGUAAAGACAGCAUUUCGCCUUGUUAGCCAGGAUGGUCUCCAUCUCCUGACCUCGUGAUCCACCCGCCUCGGCCUCCCAAAGUGUCAGCAUUACAGGUGUGAGCCACCGCGCCUGGCCUUAGCCCACUCUUUUGAAGAUGACAGGGAAGCAAAUAUGUGGCACAGUGAAGACUGUGAGAAAUAGAACUGUCUCAGACAAGUGUGCAUACUCCAAAUACAAGUACAGAAAACAUCCAAGACUACUAACAGAAAUCAGGAAAAAUAUCAAAUCAGAACAUGGAACACUGCAACUUCUCAUUUUAGAAAAAGACAAUGUAGUUAUUUGAAGUAAAAACACUUCCAAAUUUUCAAUGUAUUGUUUUAAAACAUGAAUGCACUGAAGACAAAUAUAAGGAUUUAACAAAAAAUCUCAAUCUGAUUCCAGAGAGCUGAACUUUCUUGGAGAAAUUAACAAUUGAAAGAAUAUUCUAUCAAAGAUAUGUCUAAUUUUAAAAUGCUGAAGCCCAAAGACAGAUUAUAUCCUAAAAUGAAAUGAGCUAUACUUCUUUUUGUCUUGAGGGAGGAAAAGUUUUUCAGAGAUGAGAAUCUUUUCUGAAAAAUUACUAUGUGUAAUGUUCAAAUAGCACACACACAUGCAUACCUGCUAACUGCUUUUUUGUUGAUCUUGGCUUCUCCAAAUGCUAUGAUGAUAUAAUAAUCCAUAUGGGGAAAGAGGAUCUUCAGUUUCUUUACAUUCUGAACUGGGAUUGAUAGAUUUCAUUUGGCUUCCCCAACACUGAUACUGGGAGAUGCAAACUUUCAGCGGAAGUGAUCUGGUUGAAGGGGCAGAAUGCAACACUCAGCACUAGCUGAAACACGUUAACCGUGUACAAGGCCAGAAGCCUGGGGAUAUUGGAAAGCAGGAAGACCGGAAGUUCGGACUUUGCCAAGCCUGUGGCCCUCUCCCUCUCUUCCCAGACAAUGAUGUAUCCUGUGAUUACUGGGAGUCAUAGAUGGGAGGUUGGUAGGGUCUCCCCUCAGACACAGAGAAUAAA